UGGGGAAUUUUGGACAAUGGGGGCAACCCUGAUCCAGCAAUGCCGCGUGUGUGAAGAAGGCCUUCGGGUUGUAAAGCACUUUUGUCCGGAAAGAAAACGCCGUGGUUAAUACCCGUGGCGGAUGACGGUACCGGAAGAAUAAGCACCGGCUAACUACGUGCCAGCAGCCGCGGUAAUACGUAGGGUGCAAGCGUUAAUCGGAAUUACUGGGCGUAAAGCGUGCGCAGGCGGUCCGCUAAGACAGAUGUGAAAUCCCCGGGCUUAACCUGGGAACUGCAUUUGUGACUGGCGGGCUAGAGUAUGGCAGAGGGGGGUAGAAUUCCACGUGUAGCAGUGAAAUGCGUAGAGAUGUGGAGGAAUACCGAUGGCGAAGGCAGCCCCCUGGGCCAAUACUGACGCUCAUGCACGAAAGCGUGGGGGAGCAAACAGGAUUAGAUACCCUGGUAGUCCACGCCCUAAACGAUGUCAACUAGUUGUCGGGUCUUCAUUGACUUGGUAACGUAGCUAACGCGUGAAGUUGACCGCCUGGGGAGUACGGUCGCAAGAUUAAAACU
rnacentral:rRNA from 1 species